CCUACGGGGCGCAGCAGUGGGGAAUAUUGCGCAAUGGGCGAAAGCCUGACGCAGCGACGCCGCGUGAGGGAUGAAGGUCUUCGGAUCGGAAACCCCUGUCAGCAGGGAAGAACGGUCACUGUGCUAAUCAGCAGUGAAUUGACGGUACCUGCAAAGGAAGCACCGGCUAACUCCGUGCCAGCCGCCGCGGUAAUACGGAGGGUGCGAGCGUUAAUCGGAAUUACUGGGCGUAAAGCGCUCGUAGGCGGUAUGUCAAGUCAAGGGUGAAAUCCCCGCGCUCAACGUGGGAACUGCCUUUGAAACUGGCAAACUGGAGUGUGUGAGAGGAUAGUGGAAUUCCAGGUGUAGGAGUGAAAUCCGUAGAUAUCUGGAGGAACAUCAGUGGCGAAGGCGACUAUCUGGCACAUAACUGACGCUGAGGAGCGAAAGCGUGGGUAGCAAACAGGAUUAGAUACCCUAGUAGUC
rnacentral:rRNA from 1 species